rnacentral:tRNA from 1 species
GGCGACGUAGCUCAGUUGGCAGAGCAGACGAAUCAUAAUCGUCGGGUCGUUGGUUCAAGUCCAACCGUCGCCA